GAGAAUGAAGAUUCCGGGAGGCAGAAUGCGUGUGUGAUUAAAAUUGGUUUUCACUACCAAAAAUAUAUAAAUUCACAAAUCUCAAAUACCCACACACAGAAUCAUAAUUUUGAGGCCUCCAUUUUUUCUUCCUUUUGCUCCAAAUUUCAACGGAAUUUUGAAUGUUCCAGCCUCCAAAAUCCUAACUCACAUCAUAAUUCCCUUUCCAGUUGGCCUUGAGCGUGAGCCUUCUUUCUGCUGCUUUUGAUGGGUGCUCCGAAGCAAAAAUGGACUAGUGAAGAAGAAGCAGCUCUGAAGGCUGGAGUUGUUAAGCAUGGAGCAGGAAAGUGGCGGACGAUACUUAAGGAUCCUGAAUUCAGCAGUGUACUGUAUCUUCGUUCAAAUGUUGAUCUCAAGGACAAGUGGAGAAAUAUGAGUGUCAUGGCUAAUGGCUGGGGAUCUCGAGAGAAGGCCAGGUUGGCACUUAAGAGAUUACAUGCUCCUAGAAAAGACGAGAACGCUGUGGGUCCAAGUGUUGCUGCCCAAAGUGAAGACGAAUUGGCAGAAGCUAAGUCUGUUUCCCUUUCCUCAGAUAUCAAGCAGAUAACUGGUCCAAAGCGAUCUAAUGUAAGAAAGGAAGAGGAGGAGGAAGAAGAAGAAGAAGAAGAAAAAGAAGUAGAAAGAAUAGAAAGGGAUGCAAGAUAUGAUUGCCAUAGGUGGGAAAAAAGGCUGGACAAUCUUAUAAUUGAGGCAAUUACUACCCUGAGGGAACCUGGUGGCUCUAAUAAGACAAAGAUUACCUCGUAUAUAGAGGAUCAAUACUGGGCACCUCCAGACUUCAAGAGGUUGUUAUCAUCAAAAUUGAAGUUCUUAACAGCUAGCCGUAAACUGGUCAAGUUGAGUUUCUUUUUGUCCAGGUUAAACGAAAAUAUAGGCUUCCUUCUGUGGCUGCUUCAGAGAGAAGGAGCUCUAUGUUAUUGUUGGAAGACCAGCAAAAAGCUAGUGUAAGAGCUGACAAGGAUGAUAUGUGUAUUCUUGCGAAAGCUCAAAUCGAUCUCGAAUUAGCCAAGAUGAGGACCAUGACUUCCCAAGAGGCAGCGGCAGCUGCUGCUCGAGCAGUUGCAGAAGCAGAAGCAGCAAUUGCAGAAGCUGAAGAGGCAGCUAGGGAAGCCGAGGCAGCUGAGGCUGAUGCAGAAGCAGCCCAAUCAUUUGCAGAAGCCGCAAUGAAGACACUGAAAGGAAGAAAUCUCCCGAAGAUGAUGAUCCGGGUUUGAUGGAAAGCCAAAACUGAUUAUAAAGAGUUGUGGAGCUGUUGAUCAAAGGGAUGGACAUGUUUUGGGCUUGCUAUGGAUGAUUAGCCAUUAUAACCAACCUCUCUCCCACUCUUUUUUGGGCAAGUCGAGGAACAGGGUCAUAUCCGUAGAGAAGAGUUAGGAAAAUUAUGUGGGUUUGGUUAAUUAGUUAGUUGUAGUUCAAUGUAAAAAUUUUAAUUGGUUGUAGUGCAGGUAAAUCUGUGGGCUUUUUAUAUAUGCUCUCUCUCUCUCUCUCUCUCUCUCUCUUAUAGUGAAUUAUUAUUGCCAUUGUUUAUUUCUAUUAGUCUGAAAGUUUGGAGUUGGUAUUAAUUUAAACAAUGAAAAAGGAUGAGGAAAUAAAUGGAAUGGGUUUUAACAAAAA